AGACAGGUGCUUGGAGGGGUUGUAUCGGACCUAAGAGUAGAGGUUGAUUCCACUCUCCCACCACGCACUUUUCGUAUCAUCCUAGAUCUGGAUGCCCUUCAUGGAACCUAAAAACCAGCGAGUCCCGGAAAGGCCUCAGGCAAUUGCCAAGCCGAUGGCCUUCUGCCACUUAGUUAAUGUGCACCUGGCAGCUUAGGUGGCCGCGGAGAAAGCAACUUUGGCUGCACCAAGGUCCGGCACAAGUCUGGAGAAGCUUCAGCCAGUUCCAGUGAGUUGGGAUAAAUGAAACGUGGAUCUACCAUAGACGUCUGUCCGUCUUACUGGAUAAGCGAGCACCUUUACCGGGGAAGUUAGAUGGCUGGAGUCAGCUGGCAAAUACAGAAGCAGGAAACAUUACACUGAAGCUCAGAAAAUAAUAUCCCCAAAUGAAGGCAUCAGAAAUAAAAGUUCUUCUCUGACCUUCUUUCUCUCAAGACAUUGUAUUAUGAAAAAUUUCCAGCAUACAGAAAAGUUGAAGAACACCCACAUGCCUGCUACUCAGAUUCUACAAUAAACAUUUGCUAUAUUUGUUUUACCUACAUAUCUAGUCAUCCAUCCAUCCAUUCAUAUUAUUUUUAAUGCACGUCUUAUUUUUUAAUGCACUGUCAACUACAGACAUCAGUACUCUUCACCUCCAAACAUUUCAGCAACAUAUCAUUAACGAUAGUCAAAAAUUUGUUUAGAGUUCCUUUUGUUUUAAAUAAAAUUUAUAAAGAAUGAAAUGUGUAAUUCUUAAGUGUACUAUUCUUUGAGUUUUCACAAAUGCAUAGACCUAUGUAACCUAAAGUCCUAUGAAGAUGUAGAAUAUCCCAUCCCCCUAGGAAGUUCCCUCAUGGCCCUUCCAAAUAAUCUCUGCUUACUCUGGUUUUCAAGUAACCACUGUUUUGCCUUUUAACAAACUAUAGAUUUGUUUUGCCUUCUAUAGCUUCAUAUAAAAGAAAUUAAAUCGUAUAGUAAGUACUCUCUUGAGUCUGGUUGUUUCAUUCAACAUCAUGCUUUUGAGAUUCACCCAUGUUGUUGUUGUUGUUGUGUAUCAGUAAUUCACACAUUUUCAUUAGAAGUCUUUGGUCCAACAUUAAUCAAGAAAGACUCAAGGCAGGACCAGAAGCAGCUUGCAGCCAGCUAGGCCACAGGAGUAUGCUCUCUUGCAUCUCUCAUAUGUUGGAGGCCAGCAGCCAUGUCAUAAGGACACCAAGCAGCUACAUGGAGAGGACUAGGUGGCAAAAGUCUGAGGCCUUCUGCAAACAGCCAUAUGAGCAAGCCCUUUGGAAGAAGAGUCUGUAAUCCCAGUCAAACCUUCGGAUGACUGAAGUCCUAUCCUACAUGACUGCAACAGCAAGAGAACCUGAGCCAGUGUUCCAUGGUAUAGAAGUAGUAGCCAGCAUUGCACGGUGUGGAUAUACCACAACUUAUUUAUCCAUUUGCUAGUCAAUAGACUCCUGGGAUAUUCUCAGUUUGUGGCAUGAUAUGGUUUGGAUCUGUUCCCUGGCCUGGAUCUCAUGUCAAAUUGUAAUCCCCAGUGUUGGGGGUGAGGGCUGGUGGGAGGUGAUUGAAUCAUAGGGGCAGAUUUCCCACUUGGUGCUGUUCCAUUGCGAGUGAGUGAGUUCUCAUGAGAUCUGGUCACUUAAAAGUGUGUGGCACCUCCCCCUACUCUCUCUUGGUCUUGUUCCUGCCAUGUAAGAUGACUGUUCAGGCUUUGCCUUCUGCCAUGAGUAAAAGCUCCCUGAGGCCUCCCCAGAAGUAGAUGCCACCAUGCUUCCUGUAUAUAUUGUAGAGCA
ensembl:lncRNA novel transcript